rnacentral:rRNA from 1 species
AUUGAACGCUGGCGGCAGGCCUAACACAUGCAAGUCGAGCGAGCGGCGGACGGGUGAGUAAUGUAUGGGGACUGCCCGAUAGAGGGGGAUAACUACUGGAAACGGUGGCUAAUACCGCAUACUAUCGGAUAACCCAUAUGGGAUUAGCUAGUAGGUGGGGUAAAGGCUCACCUAGGCGACGAUCUCUAGCUGGUCUGAGAGGAUGAUCGGCCACACUGGGACGAAGACACGGCCCAGACUCCUACGGAGGCAGAAGUGGGAAAUAUGGGACAAGGGGGGAAAGCCUGAUGCAGCAAGGCCGGGUGUAUGAAGAAGGCCUUAGGGUUGUAAAGUACGUUAAGCGGGGAGGCGUUACCCGCAGAGGAAGCACCGGCUAACUCCGUGCCAGCAGCCGCGGUAAUAC